AGGCAGCAGUAGGGAAUCUUCCGCAAUGGACGAAAGUCUGACGGAGCAACGCCGCGUGAGUGAUGAAGGCUUUCGGGUCGUAAAACUCUGUUGUUAGGGAAGAACAAGUGCUAGUUGAAUAAGCUGGCACCUUGACGGUACCUAACCAGAAAGCCACGGCUAACUACGUGCCAGCAGCCGCGGUAAU
rnacentral:rRNA from 2 species